GCGCUGGCGGGGAGGGUGCGUCAUGACGUCAUGAAAACCCAUCCUUAUAUACUAGCGCUGGGACGCCAUCUCGGUCUUUCGAGGUUGGCAGUUGGCGUAUUGCUUGUAAGUGUCAUUUUAGCUUAAUGGUUUCUUCGCUCCAGGCCUCCAGCCCUUGGCAGUUCAAGUCACCUUAUGCGUACAUGUAUUUCUCGGCCGGUCGCGAUCCUUUGCAGGGUUCACAAAAUGAAGAUGGUAGACGAUUACGCCUUGGGUGCGGCCGGGGCCUAAACUGCUACUCGGGUUGUGGGGGCUGAACUGCGAGAAACCCCUGGGCUCGCGUUCCCUGCCUGUGAUGAAGUCUGCGUUGGUAGGGACAUCUGAGACUGUUGAUGAAUGCCAACGGCUCUGAUGGCGGCGCAUGCCGAGUCACCCGAGUGGGCCUUUGUUAAUGACCUGGGCCUGGGCCGCCUCCGGCCUCUUGUUGAGGAAGGCCGGCGGAUAGGGUAGUCCACGUGGUGCCCAUCGGCUGCCUUCCGCGGUGCACCGUUACUUACCUCGUGGCGCCCCACCGUGUGCCGUGCGCUUUUUCUAACCUGUGAAGUGCACCCUUAAAGUCAUGAAAUUGUGGCUGGUGUAAACGACCUGGUAUAGAUGGUAGGAAAGACAUGUUUAGACUUAGUAGAACAAAGUGGUGUCUUAAAGAUCCUGAUCUUUAACCUAGGAAUGGUGCCGGACAUGAAUGCAGUGUGGCUUUUGAUGGCUUCUGAUGGACAGUUUCGUGCUGAAGGGGCGGAAGUGGCUGGCAAGAUCCUGAAGUUAAACACCCUGGCUAUGGGCAGGCAGGUGAGAAACCUUUCAUAUACUCCAUAUUUACUCAGUACUUUUCUUUUUUUUUUUUUUUAAAACAAAUGUUAACUUCUAUACUCUGGUAUCUUAAGUGCUUGUGGAACCUGCAAAACAGAUACUAUGAUGGUUGCAUAGUUCAGCAGAUUGGAUCAUGAAGAGAGACACCAUUUGUCUGAUGUAUCUGAGUUGAUAGUAAAAUUGGUUUGGUAUAACAGCAUAAGCAAAAUGUCACUAACUUUAUCCUUUUCUGUAGGCAUUACACAGAAUUAGCUGGAAGUUGGAGGGGUGAGUACAAUUUACGUUGAAAUAAACAUUGGUAACUGGGCA
rnacentral:lncRNA from 1 species